rnacentral:rRNA from 1 species
GAAUGCUGACAUAAGUAACGAUAAAGCGGGUGAAAAGCCCGCUCGCCGGAAGACCAAGGGUUCCUGUCCAACGUUAAUCGGGGCAGGGUGAGUCGACCCCUAAGGCGAGGCCGAAAGGCGUAGUCGAUGGGAAACAGGUUAAUAUUCCUGUACUUGGUGUUACUGCGAAGGGGGGACGGAGAAGGCUAUGUUGGCCGGGCGACGGUUGUCCCGGUUUAAGCGUGUAGGCUGGUUUUCCAGGCAAAUCCGGAAAAUCAAGGCUGAGGCGUGAUGACGAGGCACUACGGUGCUGAAGCGACAAAUGCCCUGCUUCCAGGAAAAGCCUCUAAGCAUCAGGUAACAUCAAAUCGUACCCCAAACCGACACAGGUGGUCAGGUAGAGAAUACCAAGGCGCUUGAGAGAACUCGGGUGAAGGAACUAGGCAAAAUGGUGCCGUAACUUCGGGAGAAGGCACGCUGAUAUGUAGGUGAAGCGACUUGCUCGUGGAGCUGAAAUCAGUCGAAGAUACCAGCUGGCUGCAACUGUUUAUUAAAAACACAGCACUGUGCAAACACGAAAGUGGACGUAUACGGUGUGACGCCUGCCCGGUGCCGGAAGGUUAAUUGAUGGGGUUAGCGGUAACGCGAAGCUCUUGAUCGAAGCCCCGGUAAACGGCGGCCGUAACUAUAACGGUCCUAAGGUAGCGAAAUUCCUUGUCGGGUAAGUUCCGACCUGCACGAAUGGCGUAAUGAUGGCCAGGCUGUCUCCACCCGAGACUCAGUGAAAUUGAACUCGCUGUGAAGAUGCAGUGUACCCGCGGCAAGACGGAAAGACCCCGUGAACCUUUACUAUAGCUUGACACUGAACAUUGAGCCUUGAUGUGUAGGAUAGGUGGGAGGCUUUGAAGUGUGGACGCCAGUCUGCAUGGAGCCGACCUUGAAAUACCACCCUUUAAUGUUUGAUGUUCUAACGUGGGCCCCUUACCGGGGUUGCGGACAGUGUCUGGUGGGUAGUUUGACUGGGGCGGUCUCCUCCUAAAGAGUAACGGAGGAGCACGAAGGUUGGCUAAUCCUGGUCGGACAUCAGGAGGUUAGUGCAAUGGCAUAAGCCAGCUUGACUGCGAGCGUGACGGCGCGAGCAGGUGCGAAAGCAGGUCAUAGUGAUCCGGUGGUUCUGAAUGGAAGGGCCAUCGCUCAACGGAUAAAAGGUACUCCGGGGAUAACAGGCUGAUACCGCCCAAGAGUUCAUAUCGACGGCGGUGUUUGGCACCUCGAUGUCGGCUCAUCACAUCCUGGGGCUGAAGUAGGUCCCAAGGGUAUGGCUGUUCGCCAUUUAAAGUGGUACGCGAGCUGGGUUUAGAACGUCGUGAGACAGUUCGGUCCCUAUCUGCCGUGGGCGCUGGAGAACUGAGGGGGGCUGCUCCUAGUACGAGAGGACCGGAGUGGACGCAUCACUGGUGUUCGGGUUGUCAUGCCAAUGGCACUGCCCGGUAGCUAAAUGCGGAAGAGAUAAGUGCUGAAAGCAUCUAAGCACGAAACUUGCCCCGAGAUGAGUUCUCCCUGACUCCUUGAGAGUCCUGAAGGAACGUUGAAGACGACGACGUUGAUAGGCCGA